rnacentral:rRNA from 1 species
ACUUCCGGAAGGGGUGUAUUUAUUAGAUAAAAAACCAACGCGGCUCGCCGCUCCCUUGGUGAUUCAUAAUAACUUCUCGAAUCGUAUGGCCUUGUGCCGGCGAUGCUUCAUUCAAAUAUCUGCCCUAUCAACUUUCGAUGGUAGGAUAGCGGCCUACCAUGGUUUCAACGGGUAACGGGGAAUAAGGGUUCGAUUCCGGAGAGGGAGCCUGAGAAACGGCUACCACAUCCAAGGAAGGCAGCAGGCGCGCAAAUUACCCAAUCCCGACACGGGGAGGUAGUGACAAGAAAUAACAAUAUAGGGCUCUUUCGGGUCUUAUAAUUGGAAUGAGUACAAUUUAAAUCCCUUAACGAGGAACAAUUGGAGGGCAAGUCUGGUGCCAGCAGCGGCGGUAAUUCCAGCUCCAAUAGCGUAUAUUAAAGUUGUUGCAGUUUAAAAGCUCGUAGUUGAACUUCAGACCUGGCCGGGCGGUCCGCUUAACGGCGUGUACUGUCUGACUGGGCCUUACCUCUUGGUGAGCCGGCGUGCCCUUUAUUGGUGUGCGUCGGGGAACCAGGACUUUUGCCUUGA